rnacentral:rRNA from 1 species
UGGGGAAUAUUGGACAAUGGGGGCAACCCUGAUCCAGCCAUGCCGCGUGAGUGAAGAAGGCCUUCGGGUUGUAAAGCUCUUUCAAUCGUGACGAUGAUGACGGUAACGAUAGAAGAAGCCCCGGCUAAUUUCGUGCCAGCAGCCGCGGUAAUACGAAAGGGGCUAGCGUUGUUCGGAAUCACUGGGCGUAAAGGGCACGCAGGCGGUCUUGUCAGUCAGAGGUGAAAGCCCAGGGCUCAACCUUGGAACUGCCUUUGAUACUGCAAGACUAGAGACUAGGAGAGGGUGGUGGAAUUCCCAGUGUAGAGGUGAAAUUCGUAGAUAUUGGGAGGAACACCAGAGGCGAAGGCGGCCACCUGGACUAGAUCUGACGCUCAGGUGCGAAAGCGUGGGGAGCAAACAGGAUUAGAUACCCCCGUAGUCC